rnacentral:rRNA from 1 species
UCGGAAUCGCUAGUAAUCGCAAAUCAGAAUGUUGCGGUGAAUACGUUCCCGGGCCUUGUACACACCGCCCGUCACACCAUGGGAGUGGGUUGCACCAGAAGUAGAUAGCUUAACCUUCGGGAGGGCGUUUACCACGGUGUGAUUCAUGACUGGGGUGAAGUCGUAACAAGGUAACCCUAGGGGAACCUGGGGUUGGAUCACCUCCUUACCUUAAUGA